rnacentral:rRNA from 1 species
GGAACCGGGAGAGGUAAGAGGUACUACAGGGGUAGGAGUGAAAUCUUGUAAUCCCUGUGGGACCACCUGUGGCGAAGGCGCUUACCAGAACGGGUUCGACGGUGAGGGACGAAAGCUGGGGGCACGAACCGGAUUAGAUACCCGGGUAGUCCCAGCCGUAAACGAUGCUCGCUAGGUGUCAGGCAUGGCGCGACCGUGUCUGGUGCCGCAGGGAAGCCGUGAAGCGAGCCACCUGGGAAGUACGGCCGCAAGGCUGAAACUUAAAGGAAUUGGCGGGGAGCACAACGACGGGUGGAAGCCUGCGGUUUAAUUGGACUCAACGCCGGACAACUCACCGGGGGCGACAGCAAUAUGUAGGCCAAGCUGAAGACUUUGCCUGAAUCGCUGAGUAGAGGUGCAUGG